UUUCCGGUUGAUCCGCCGGGACUGACUGCUAUCGGAUUGAUACUAAGCCAUGCGAGUCAUUGUAGUAAUACAAGGCAGACGGCUCAGUAACGCGUAGUCAACCUACCCUAUGGACGGGGAUAACCUCGGGAAACUGAGAAUAAUACCCGAUAGAACAUUAUACCUGGAAUGGUUUAUGUUUCAAAUAAUUUAUUGCCGUAGGAUGGGACUGCGGCCUAUCAGUUUGUUGGUGAGGUAAUGGCCCACCAAGACUAUUACAGGUACGGGCUCUGAGAGGAGUAGCCCGGAGAUGGGUACUGAGACACGGACCCAGGCCCUAUGGGGCGCAGCAGGCGAGAAAACUUUGCAAUGUGCGAAAGCACGACAAGGUUAAUCCGAGUGGUUUCUGCUAAAGGAACCUUUUGUCAGUCCUAGAAACACUGGUGAAUAAGGGGUGGGCAAGUUCUGGUGUCAGCCGCCGCGGUAAAACCAGCACCUCAAGUGGUCAGGAUGAUUAUUGGGCCUAAAGCAUCCGUAGCCUGCUUUGUUAGUUUUCGGUUAAAUCCAUACGCUUAACGUAUGGGCUGCCGGGAAUACUGCAAAGCUAGGGAGUGGGAGAGGUAGACGGUACUCGGUAGGAAGGGGUAAAAUCCUUUGAUCUAUUGAUGACCACCUGUGGCGAAGGCGGUCUACCAGAACACGUCCGACGGUGAGGGAUGAAAGCUGGGGGAGCAAACCGGAUUAGAUACCCGGGUAGUCCCAGCUGUAAACUAUGCAAACUCGGUGAUGCAUUGGCUUGAUGCCAAUGCAGUGCCGCAGGGAAGCCGUUAAGUUUGCCGCCUGGGAAGUACGUACGCAAGUAUGAAACUUAAAGGAAUUGGCGGGGGAGCACCACAAGGGGUGAAGCCUGCGGUUCAAUUGGAUUCAACGCCGGA
rnacentral:rRNA from 1 species